rnacentral:rRNA from 1 species
GACAGAGGUUGCAAACGUUGUUCGGAAUCACUGGGCAUAAAGCGCAUGUAGGCGGUCUGUUAAGUCAGGUGUGAAAGCCCUCGGCUCAACCGGGGAAUUGCAUUUGAUACUGGCAGGCUCGAGAACGGUAGGGGUGAGUGGAGCUCCAGGUGGAGCGGUGAAAUGCGUAGGUAUCGAGAGGAACACCUGCGGCGAAGGCGGGUUGCUGGGCUGACACUGACGCUGAUGCGCGAAAGCUAGGGGAGCGAACGGG